rnacentral:rRNA from 1 species
CAAUAGCGUAUAUUAAAGUUGUUGCAGUUAAAAAGCUCGUAGUCGAUCUUCUAAGUGUCAGUAUUUCCUCCUCUUCGGAGAUUUAUUGGCACUUAUCUGACCGAGAACUUUGUACGGCAUUAACUUGUCGGCGAUGCAAAUCGGUCAUUUUACUGAGAAAAAAUUAGAGUGUUCAAAGCAGGCUCAACGCCUUGAAUACACAAGCUUGGAAUAAUAGAAUAAGACUAAAGUCUUUUUUAUUGGUUAUGAGGCUUUAGUAAUGGUUAAUAGAAACAGUUGGGGGCAUUAGUAUCUAAUUGUCAGAGGUGAAAUUCUUGGAUUUAUUAGAGACUAACUUAUGCGAAAGCAUUUGCCAAAGAUGUUUUCAAUUGA